UUAGGUUGUAGACGCCCUCGAGUAGACGCCAUACAGCGGCCUUUUGUUUUUCACCGGGAUUCAGGGGGCUGGCGUACGUUUGCGUUUUAUCGACUCGAACAUCUCAGAGAUGUCACGUUUCAGAGAUUCAAAUCCCGACUGUAAAAUCUACAUUGGCGAUUUAGGGAGUUCUGCUAAUAAACAAGACUUGGAGGAUGCAUUUUCCUAUUAUGGCCCGAUUAGGAGUGUUUGGAUUGCUAGAAAUCCACCCGGAUUUGCCUUUGUCGAGUUUGAUGAUGCCCGAGAUGCUGAAGACGCAGUUAGAGGGUUAGACGGAAGAAAUGUUUGUGGAAGGCGCGUUCGUGUUGAAAUGUCGAACGGCGCAAAGAGGCGAGGGAGUGUCAGAAGGGGAAGGCCUUUCCAUCCAGAGGAUAAAUGCUAUGAAUGUGGUGAGCGUGGUCACUAUGCAAGAGACUGUUCAAAGUAUAAUAAAAGAAGCAAGCGCAGGAAUAGCGGCUGAGCAUCUCUCGUGUGUUUGCAUAAGUCCUCAGCGUAGAAAUUGAUUGGUUUCUUCCUCCUUCUCUUCCCCAGUGUGUGGUUUGAUCACGCUUCUCUCCCAGUUUGUCGGCCCAUAACUCGAAAGAAAAAAACAUGAAAACGAACCCUGCCUUCAGCCAACUUCUACUUCAUCCCAUUUGGCGGCAUUCCACUCCUCAGCCUUUCCAAAUGCUAAAAUUUUACAGUCUUUUAAAUUUAAAACAAACAAAAUGGAAAUGGCUCUGGCCUGGAAGAGUGAAGUGAGAGAUUUCGAUGAAAGAAAAGAGCAAGACUCCGUUGAGAAGGUGACUGUUAAAAAUGCUUCACACCUUCAGAGCUCUUCAUAAAUCUACCUUCUUCUCUUCUACAUUCUCGCGACGAAUUUAAGACACACGAGUUCUCUCUCAGUAUCACACGACUUGUCAUAAAUAAAACCUACUCGCGAAGCAGAUCACGCUCAAGAUCUAGGGAUAGGAGAUCAAGGUCGCAUAGCCGUGGUGGAGGCACCGAACGAGAUCAUUCCCGCUCCCGCUCAAGGAAUAGAAGCAGGAGUCGUUCUCUCUCACGCUCCCGGAGCAGAGACUCUAGAGAGAAGAAUGGAACCAACUAAGAAGCAAAAAGACAAAAUUGUCAUAAUUUAUUCAUUAUUAUUUUAUAAAUAAUGACAAGCAAUUGAGUUCUGUUAUUAAGUUCUCUUUUCCUCUUUAUUUUAAUUAUAUAAUAGCACAAUUUUUUGACAAUAGA